rnacentral:lncRNA from 1 species
AAUUAAUCCUCUCUCUAUAAAACAUUGGUUUAAUGAAUCAAUAAUUUUUCAAAUCUCCAUUUGUCUUCAUUAAACUUGUAAUAUUAUAUAGUCCUUAUAAAAUGACUAAAUUACUCUUUUAAGUAAAAUGUUUAUUUUACCCUUAACCUUCCAAUUCCACUUGUUUAUGAAUAGUUGGUUCUUUAAAUGAAAUAAUAGGUCGAAAUAUUAC